AGCAGUAGCCGCGGUAAUACGUAGGUGGCGAGCGUUGUCCGGAAUUAUUGGGCGUAAAGGGAGCGCAGGCGGACAUAUAAGUCCAUCUUAAAAGUGCGGGGCUCAACCCCGUGAGGGGAUGGAAACUGUAUGCCUUGAGUGCAGGAGAGGAAAGCGGAAUUCCCAGUGUAGCGGUGAAAUGCGUAGAUAUUGGGAGGAACACCAGUGGCGAAGGCGGCUUUCUGGACUGUAACUGACGCUGAGGCUCGAAAGCCAGGGGAGCGAACGGGAUUAGAUACCCGCGUAGUCCCUGUCUCUUAUACC
rnacentral:rRNA from 1 species